GAAGAGUGAGUAAACAGCUGGUGAAUUCAGUAUGAAGAAGGUCAACUUCACCACCAGUGAGCAAGCUGUAAAGACUUCAAGAAGUCCUUUACACCAUACAAUGUCCUGAAGCCUGAUGUGAUUCAAUAAUUUCCAAUGGAAUGGUGGAAAUUUCUGAAAAGAGGAUCUCGCCCCAUCUAAACUUCUCUUACCAUGGCUCUCAGGCCCCAAGUUAUUCACAAUAGAAGAAAUUUCUCAGACCUUCCCAUAGAAAAUUGCUGCUGUUCCAAACUCUGGUCCUUCUAAAAUUGGGGAUGAGGAACAAAGUCUUCAAAGAAGAAAUCACACCUUCAUUCAGUGGCCUCAGCUACACCUUCGGAGCAGCUUCUUGGUUGACUUUUAUCUUUACAAAACCAUUUUCAAUGAUCCACCC